rnacentral:rRNA from 1 species
UACGUAGGGUGCGAGCGUUAAUCGGAAUUACUGGGCGUAAAGCGUGCGCAGGCGGUUAUGUAAGACAGAUGUGAAAUGCCCGGGCUCAACCUGGGAACUGCAUUUGUGACUGCAUGGCUAGAGUUUGGCAGAGGGGGGUAGAAUUCCACGUGUAGCAGUGAAAUGCGUAGAUAUGUGGAGGAAUACCGAUGGCGAAGGCAGCCCCCUGGGAUAACACUGACGCUCAUGCACGAAAGCGUGGGGAGCAAACAGG